CCUACGGGGGGCAGCAGUGGGGGAUAUUGCACAAUGGGGGAAACCCUGAUGCAGCGACGCCGCGUGUGGGAAGACGGUCUUCUGGAUUGUAAACCACUGUCCCCAGGGACGAAAAUGACGGUACCUGGGGAGGAAACUCCGGCUAACUACGUGCCAGCAGCCGCGGUAAUACGUAGGGAGCAAGCGUUGUCCGGAAUUACUGGGUGUAAAGGGAGCGUAGGCGGGGAUGCAAGUUGGGUGUCAAACCUACCGGCUCAACCGAUAGUCGCACUUAAAACUGCAACUCUUGAGUGAAGUAGAGGCAGGCGGAAUUCCUAGUGUAGCGGUGAAAUGCGUAGAUAUUAGGAGGAACACCAGUGGCGAAGGCGGCCUGCUGGGCUUUUACUGACGCUGAGGCUCGAAAGUGUGGGGAGCAAACAGGAUUAGAUACCCUGGUAGUC
rnacentral:rRNA from 1 species